rnacentral:lncRNA from 1 species
GGGCCGGGGCGGGCCGGGGCGGGGCCUCCGCAGCGGCUCCCGCAGGGCUGCGGGCUCCUGGCCGCGGAGGCCGCAGAGGGUUAUCGCGGCGUGGUCUCCGCGGGGCCCCCGGACGAUCGCGCCGUCAGACCCAGGGGUCGGCGAGCGGCCGCGGUGAGUCCCGGGAGCAGCGGAGGUUCAGCGUGCUGAAGGUCACAGGCUGCAGUGCCUCCAGUACAGCAGGAGCUCUGGGAGGGGAGGGGGUUGUCAGACACCCCGCCCCCGCCCCUGGGCCCUGCCCCAGCCGGAGUUGAAUCCAGGACCAACGGCUCUUCACCUCACCACGCCCACUCUCAGCUCCAGCCAUGGGGCCCCUGCUAACCCUGUUCCUGGUGGCCCUGGUGGGCCUCCCGCUGGCCCAGGCUCUGGACUGCCACGUGUGCGCCUACAACGGAGAGAACUGCUUCAACCCCGUCCACUGCCCGGCCAUGGUCACCUACUGCAUGACCACGCGCACUUACUACACCCCGACCAGGAUGAAGGUGAGCAAGUCCUGCGUGCCCAGCUGCUUCGAGACCGUGUACGAUGGUUACUCCAAGCACGCCUCUACCACCUCCUGCUGCCAGUACGACCUCUGUAACGGCGCUGGCCUCGCCAUCCCCGGAACCCUGGCCCUGGCCCCCAUACUCCUGGCUACCCUCUGGGGUCUGCUCUGAAGCCCUGCCCCCACCAGGACCCACGCAAGGACAAGUUCUGAGAAGCCCAGCCCUACCCUUUCACCCUUUCACCCUGCCCCCACCUUCUGUGCUCCCAGAGACCACCCCCCGCAACCGCUCCAGCCACCAUCCAGAACUGCCUACUGGAGGGACUCGAGUGUCCACCACCAUCCUGGGCCUCGCUCCCAGACCACCACCUUCCAUUUUCCAAAGGUUGACGUGGGACCUUCCAAAAGUGUCUGGUCUUGGUGGGAGAGCUCGCCCCUCCUCUACAUGAGGAUGAGGGCAUCUGGAGAAGUGUGCCGCUUAGUUGGGGUCCUCAGUUGGCUGAGGAACACUGAUGGGAAGGGAGACUUGGCCCACCCUCCUGGCAGCUCUGGGGGUCUGCCCCAGUCUGCCUAGUCUGCCUAGUAAGUGUGUGGAGGCGCUGGGGAAAGCAGGGACCCAGGGUGGGUGGGGGGCAGUCUUGGGAAGAAGGGCUUUCUGGGGCCCCAGGAGGUCUGUCCCUGUGCAUCUGACAGACCAGGAGCUGCCCAGGGUAGGCGUGGCAUAGAGGGCCACGCUUCGUCCCUGUCAGCCAUCCAGGUGGGAGUGCCAGGAAGGCCUGGGUGAGGGGUGGGGGUGGCUCAUCCUAAAGAGCCCCUGAGGCCCCCAGCCCCAGGAGCCUGGCAAGAGGCUCUUCCCUUCUUGCUCUGCCCAAUCCCUGACCUUCCCCCCUCUGCACCCUGCCUGAGGCUGGCAGGCACUUGGGGGCAGGGCAGGCAGGCCAGAUGGCUAUAUUUGGUGGAGCAUGAGAGCUGACCCCAGGGCUAUUUUUGGCAGGGAGAGAAGGGAGCUGGGUGGGACCAGAACAGCCUGAUCUUCAGCCCUGGCCUGGCCCUUAGUGGAGGGGAGUGAGCCACAGCAGGUGCCUGAGAGUGUGAGCACCCGAAUCAGCGGGGGAGGGUGGAGGGCGGAGGAUGGAGGGCGGAGGUCGGGGUGGGGGGGUGCGGGGAGGAUCCUGGGAGGAAGGAGAGGAGUCGGAGAGAUGCUGGGAGAGGCCGACUCUGGGAUGCAAUGCAGAUGACCAGGCUCCCUCUGGACACGCACCCCAGGAUUUCCUCUGCAACCCCCAUCCCAAUAAGCACUGCCCACAGCGGCUUCCGGCUGGCCUCCCUCCGCUCUGGCCUGCAGGCCCCGCUCAGUGAGUGCUGGCUGAACUGGCCUGGGCCCCAAAGCCUGAGCCCAUCAGCCUGCGGGUCUCCAGGGAACCCUCUACCCUCCAACUGUGCUUGAGGAGAGAGAGAGGCCCACCGGGGCUGGAGAGCUUCCUCUCUGAUCCGAGGAGUGGUCUGCAAGUGUCCCCAACCUAGUGGGGUAUUGGGACCUUCAAAGGCCCAAGAAUUGGCAUUAUUUAAAGGGUAUAAGCCUAGGUGAACCCCACCCCUGGCCUGGUUUCAGAGAUAAGAGUCUGCCCAGCACAGACCAUGCUGGAUCAGGGUGGCCCAGGAAACGCCGGUCCUCCUCCCACUGAGGCCAGACUGCAUGCCACAUGGUGCCCCAGGUCACACAGGGCCUGCCUGAGGCCUUAGCUGCCCAGUGUCCCCAGCCCGAGGGUCCGGGGAGGGGCCCAGGAGCACCUUCAGGCUGUCUGGACCUAAGUGGGCAGGAUUGUGGCAAAUGCCUGUGUGGUGGCAUCGUCCCUGGAAUGCAGAGGCUCUUGGCCCCCAAGCGUGGCCUCGUCAAGGGAGACUGUGCUGGAGAUCCCGCCUUGAGAGCUUCACCCAGUGCUUCCAGAACCCAAGGGAUUAGGAUAUCGUGGGAGAGCCUGGGGGAGCCUCAGCAGGUGACCUCGGGCAGACCUGGUUGGACCUCCCAGAAGGUCGGGGAAGAUGAGUUUCUCAUCCUGGGCGGGAAAGGAGCUGCACCCCACAGAGUGUCCGGUCAAGGGCUCAGUCCCCACAGGACACCUGGGUGCCUCCUCCUGAGGCCCGAUCCGGUAUGAGCCCUUCCCUGGGGGAGGCGGGCAGCAAGCCAGACUCCAACUCUGAGCUCCCACAGGUCCUGCGGGACACCCCCCAGGAAGGGUUGGUCUCAGGAAGACCAAGCUCCCCACAAGGCUGCCUGGAGGGCCAGCGCAGGCCUCUACCUGCGGAUGCCGGCUGGAAGAAAGGGUAGACAGAGUCCUCCAGCCCUAGCCGCCCUUGACCUGACUCAGUGGGAGAGGCUUGGAAUCGGUUGUUAAAGUGCUUGUGUAAGACCUUUGUCCUGGGUCAGCAGGCAUCCUAGGCCACGGCCGGGAGGAGCACAGGAUCGGUCCUCCCUCCCCUCAGUGGCUGAUGACGUUAGAGCCCUGCCUGGGCACCCGUGGGCUCUGGGGUCACUGAGAGCAGGGAUCCAGGGAGCUGGGCUUGCCGCCGUAUGGGGUUGCUUCUUACACCUGCCUUCUGUGCCCCUCUGUCCACUGUGACCUGGUCCAAGCCCAACACCCACCGCAUUGCACCAGGCCCGCAGGACCGUGCCGUCCACCCCACCGCCACAGGCCGGGCUCUGGCUGGCUGGGCUGUCCUCAGAACCCAGCCCGGAGCCCUCAGGAGGUCCUCGACCAAUACGGGGGCCCCGGCCCCUGGUGGGACGCAUGUGACGCUGACCUGGAAGGGCAGUGCCGGUGGGGACAAGCACAGCGACCAUGGGAACUGACUGUCCGGCUGCCCUGUGCUGUGGCUGUAAGCACUCCACGACCACCCUGCGAGGUAGAAGGCAUUACAGGUGAGGAGGCUGAGGCACGGGGCGCUGGCGUGGCUGCCCGACACCCCCCACCCUGCCCCCGCUGUGCAGUCUUCUCCCAUCUGCUGGGAGGCUGCGUCCCAGAGCCUGGGACAGGGAAGGGAGCAGGUUAUAAACUUAGAACUAUUUUGGCCUGUGAGAUAAUGAUAAGAGCUGAGGGUCAGGAAAGCUCUAGAAGGGGAAAAGUAGAAGCAGAGAUUUGAGACACCGUGAGGCCCAGAGGCAGGCGUCCAGCCCCGCGUCUGCGUCCCGCAAGCUGGGGUUGCAGAGGGGGGGCACAGGGGCACCAGGCCCGUGUCUCCAGCUGCCAGCGAGACAGUGGGCAUUUCCACUGUGGGGGUCCCCCCAACAGAAAUGAGUGUCCCGUCCAUGUGAAUCGAUGCUCGGGCUCUUUAAAGCUCUCCGUGGCGUCCAAAUCUCGAGUCUGGAAGCAGCCUGGGUGUCUCUGCUGUGCUGCUUCCUGUGGGCACCCUGGGAGCACAGCUGGGGAGCGGGGGCAGCAGGCGCCCACCCUGGGGACACAGGGUGGGCAUCUGCAGCCAAAGGCACCCUCCAGACCUGUGUGCGGCCUGGCCCCGCUGCAUACAGAAGGCAUCAGGAAGGUGCGCUGGUGGUGGGCGGGCGGGGAGGGGGGGUCGACCAACCGCCCCAUCUCCCUCCGCAGCUGCUGACUUGUUUGAUAAACAUGUAACUCAUUCAUGCUUCUAGACCUCUUGAGUUCUGUUGGGUCCUACAGCUCUGGGCUGGCUCAUUCAUAAAAUGGGCAUGAUGCCCACCAAGCCGAGGCCUCGGGGGGAUGGACGAAGCUGGGGGUGUAAGUGCCCAGCCCAGGGCCCAGCACACAGGAGGCCUCAGAUCCAUGGGUGGUCCCUCCUCCCUUCCUGCCACUGCGAGCUCUGGACACUUCCAGGGCCAUGCCCCUGCAGGCAGCUAAUGCCAACCCCUGACCCUGACCCUGACCCUGACCCGCAUGAGACUCCGCCUUUGGGCCUGGGCCUCCUUCUCUGUUCACACUAUGCACUUCAGUAUCUCCAGUGUGAAUAAACAGAUGAGGACACA